rnacentral:rRNA from 1 species
GAUUGAUUGGGUGUAAAGGUGCGUAGGCGGUGAGUAAGUCAGUGUGAAAGCCCAUCGCUCAAACGGUGGAACGGCCCAUUGAUACUGCUAAACUUGAAUUAUUAGGAAGUAACUAGAAUAUGUAGUGUAGCGGUGAAAUGCUUAGAGAUUACAUGGAAUACCAAUUGCGAAGGCAGGUUACUACUAAUGGAUUGACGCUGAUGGACGAAAGCGUGGGUAGCGAACAGGAUUAGAUACCCUGGUAGUCCACGCCGUAAACGAUGGAUACUAGCUGUUGGGGGCAACCUCAGUGGCUAAGCGAAAGUGAUAAGUAUCCCACCUGGGGAGUACGUUCGCAAGAAUGAAAACUCAAAGGAAUUGACGGGGACCCGCACAAGCGGUGGAUGAUGUGGAUUAAUUCGAAGCAACGCGCAGAACCUUACCUGGCCUUGACUUCUGGGGAACCUCCACGAAAGUGGAGGGUGCCAUCGGGAACCCCAAGACAGGUGCUGCAUGGCUGUCGUCAGCUCGUGUCGUGAGGUGUUGGGUUAAGUCCCGCAACGAGCGCAACCCCUAUCGCUAGUUACCAGCGGGUAGAGCCGGGCACUCUAGUGAGACUGCCGGUGUUAAGCCGGAGGAAGGUGGGGAUGACGUCAAGUCCUCAUGGCCUU